GACGAACGCUGGCGGCGUGCUUAACACAUGCAAGUCGAACGGAAAGGCCCUGCUUUUGUGGGGUGCUCGAGUGGCGAACGGGUGAGUAACACGUGAGUAACCUGCCCUUGACUUUGGGAUAACUUCAGGAAACUGGGGCUAAUACCGGAUAGGAGCUCCUGCUGCAUGGUGGGGGUUGGAAAGUUUCGGCGGUUGGGGAUGGACUCGCGGCUUAUCAGCUUGUUGGUGGGGUAGUGGCUUACCAAGGCUUUGACGGGUAGCCGGCCUGAGAGGGUGACCGGCCACAUGGGGGCUGAGAGACGCGCGAGAAGCAGGCGGGAGGCAGCAGGGGGGAGUAUGGCAAAAUGGGCGGAGGGUUUAUGCAGCAUCGCGGCGGGCGGGAGGGGGGCCGGCGGGUUGUAAACAGCGACCGCCUGGGACACUGCGUGAGGGAAGGUAAUGUAUAAAGAAGCAACGGCUAAAUACGUG
rnacentral:rRNA from 1 species